rnacentral:misc_RNA from 1 species
AUCCAUACUCUGUUUUUUCUAAUAUUUGCACUCUGUUUUCAACCAUGGCAGAUUCCGACAACAACAACGACAUUGUCACUGAUUUCUUCCCAUACUAUCGACUCUACAAAGACGGUCGAGUAGAACGUUUCUACGAACUUGGUGGUGUACACCAAGUUCCACCGUCGCUGGAAGAUCCAGCGACUGGUGUAUCAUCAAAAGACGUGAGCAUCUCUGCUCACGUCUCCGCUAGACUCUACCUCCCAAAAAACACCGCACCCAAUCAAAAACUCCCCGUCCUAGUGUAUUACCACGGCGGAGGACUUGUAUUAGGAUCCGCAUUUUUCAAAACAGAGCAUUGUUAUCUCAACCAUCUGGUUUCCGAAUCGAAUUGCAUCGCGAUUUCUGUAGAUUACCGUCUUGCCCCUGAGCAUGACAUCCACACAAUCUACCAGGAUUGUUGGGAUGCACUUCAGUGGGUUGCGUCACAUUCUGUUUCUGAUACAAUUAACAAAGAACCAUGGAUAGAAAAUCACAGUAAUUUUAACCGACUGUUUGUAGGGGGUGACAGUGCUGGAGGCAAUAUAGUUUAUAAUAUGAUCAUGAGAGCGGGGAGAGAAAAAUUGAUCGGAGAUGUGAAAAUUUUAGGUGCAAUACUUGGAUUUCCUUAUUUGAUGAUACCAUCGAUUGAAAACUAUGACAAAGGAAUGGCUUACAAGCUUUGGAAUAUGAUUUGCCCGCUCUCUGAGCGGGGAAAUGAUAGUCCAAUGGUUAAUCCAGUCUCGAAGAAGUGCCCUAGCUUAUCUAAGCUAGGAUGCUCGAGACUUUUUGUGUGUACGGGAGAGAAAGACGAACUUGUCCCUG